rnacentral:lncRNA from 1 species
AGCCGAGGUACGGGCCGCACGUCGCGUGGGGCGUGCUCACGACGUGACGUCACGCGUCGCCGGCGUCCUGACCCCGCCCCCGCCGGAUGAACUGCUGGUCUCUCAGAAACCACCCAGCCCGUACUGGGGAAAGGACUUCUGCGCUCCUCUGGUGUUUCCAAUCCUGGCAACAGGCGUGCUGUUCGUUUUUAUUCAGACCUAUUGGGGUACAUCACUUUGAGGACCAUAACAAGCCUUUAUUAUGAGGAGGAUCUGCCAGGCUGUCUCCGAACAAAGGAUGAAAAGCAACAUGGCAGAACAGAUGCCUGAUGUUGGGAAUCAUCGCGGAGGAUGAAUUGGAGGAGGACAAGAAGACAGCAGAGGAAGUGGAAGGGACACACUUAAGAGAUUGGAUUAUCAAUCUCCAUCUCUGAUGAGGUCAACAGCUUGGACUUAGCAAGAAAUGACUGUAUUCUGCACACUACUUAAGGAAAUACAAAAAAGCACAAGGAAGAAAAUGAGAGCAUAUGCUUUAAAUUUUCUGAAGAUAACUAGAUUGAACAAUUGGUGCCUGCCCUUCUAUCCUAUUCUUCUGAUGAAUAGAAUAAAGGAAAGACAAGAUCAAACUUCUUCUAAGAUCAACUCACAUUUUGAAGGAGGAGCUUUAAAUAAGCCCUAGUGUCAUGCACACACGCAUACACACACUCUCCACACACCUUCCAGCCUCUAAGCUAUAGAACAACCACUUCCUUUGAAGGGGUUAUGUCCAAAGUCUCCUUGGUCUUUCUAAGCUGCAUCACCAUUCAUUAUGAAAUUGUCUCUCCCUGCAGGAAAUCAGGAUGAGGCAAUAUUGAAAUGCCUGUGUGAGAAAGAGCAUAGCGGUGAGAGACAGAGCCCCAGCAAAAAUCCACAGGCAGGAGUAUAACCAGAAUGCAGCCCCUUUUAUCUUACUAAGAAUGUCUUUAUGGCCAUAUGAUAAAUGAGCAAAGAGACUAAAUUAGAUUAGUGCAAAUGUUAAUUUAUCUCCUUACAUUGCAUCUGAUCCUGCAUAUGUGCAUAUAUGUGUGUGGUACAUUUUUAUUAAAUUUAUUUUCAAAUAAAUCCUCACAGUGUUGUUCAAGAUAAUUGAUGGUAGAGGCAUAGGACAUUUCUCAGUAAUAUAUAAACAAAGCCAAACUCAAAUCAUGCAAAUUGCUUUAUUUGUGGGGAUAAAACUAAAUUGUUUGGCAAGGCAGGGAG